CAAAAAACAAACACGGCUUCUCCAACAGUCGACAAGGUGUUAUUCCAAGUCAUAGCUCCGUUACGGAUAUGAUCACUAAAAAGCUCAAACGAAGCUGGUGGAUUGUCAUGAACAUGGUGUGAAGGAUUCAAAAUAAGAAUCCUCGACAUGCACGCCUUCUUCUUCAUAUUUGGACGACCACGACUCGAUAUGCAUCAAGUUGUCUUUUGCAAGAAGAAUAAGCGUCUUAGGGCUAGUUAACGGCGCAUAAAGUUUCAAUGUUGUUCCCCUAACUUGUGAAUUACCUUCCUUCAUAAGAAUAGGGAUGGUGUUGCUCUUAAAGCACUCG
rnacentral:lncRNA from 1 species